AUUCAGCUGACGAGUCCUAAAUAGGACGAAACAAGCGUCGUUGAU
rnacentral:hammerhead_ribozyme from 1 species